UAGGGAAUCUUCCACAAUGGGCGAAAGCCUGAUGGAGCAACGCCGCGUGUGUGAUGAAGGGUUUCGGCUCGUAAAACACUGUUGUAAGAGAAGAAUGACAUUGAGAGUAACUGUUCAAUGUGUGACGGUAUCUUACCAGAGAGGAACGGCUAAAUACGUGCCCG
rnacentral:rRNA from 1 species